rnacentral:tRNA from 1 species
GGGCCCGUAGCUCAGCCAGGUAGAGAACAUGACCGCCUAAAGCGGCGGGCUCUUAACCCGUUGGUCGGGGGUUCGAAUCCCCCCGGGCCCG